GAGGGAAAGUUGCAAAGAACUUUGAAGAGAGAGUUCAAGAGUGCGUGAAACCGUUCGGAGGUAAACGGGUGGGAGCGCGAAGGUCGAACGGACGGGGAGGGAUUCAACUUGGCGUGACGGCGUCCCCUGGCUGGCGCUCGGGGUCCGGCGGCUUCGGCUGUUCGGGACCUCGGCGUUUCGGCUGGGGUGCUUUGCCAGUCUCCGCCUUGUGCAUUUCCCUGUUCCCCCUCUCCUAGUAGGACGCCGUGACCGGCUGCUGAGGAGAGCCCAGGAGCUGGCGGGGGUAGCUGCGCGGACGAGUGUGGGAUUCGUUCCCUGCGUCCGGUCUGUCUGCCCCCCGCCUGUGUAGCGGGCGCUCUCUCCGGCCGAGAAAUGCUGUGCGAGUCUGGGGCAUUUACUGUCCUGACUCGUCCAAGCGCGUGCCCACGAUCUGUCGGUGCGGGUCUAUAGAACCCAACGGGUGGCGGCGGGUGGCUCCUGGCCAGCUUCGUGCUGUGUUCCAGGAGCUUCUGCGCGUCAGCCGCCGUCGGUCAGGGUGCGGACUCCCGCAUUUGGGGCGCUGGGGGUCAACGGCGAGUAGGUCGGUUUCCCACCCGACCCGUCUUGAAACACGGACCAAGAAGUCUAACGUGUGGGCGAGUCUUCGGGGACUUUGUGAACCCUUUGAAGGCGAAAUAAAAGUGAAGGUCUGUCUUGCCGGGUCUCUGAUCUGUGCAGGCAGGCUGUAGUGGGAUCCCCCGUCUAAGGUCGGGGGCGCACCACUGGCCCGUCCUAUGACCGCUUCGCCGGUCGGGCGGAGCAAGAGCCCACGCGUUGGGACCC
rnacentral:rRNA from 1 species